GAAGACCUGCUUGGUUUUUUUAUUGCUGUAUUCUCAGUAAUCUUCCCCCACUCAGCGCUAGGACGUGCCCAAUAAAUAUUGAAUGAAUGAACGCGUGCAUGAACGCAUGAAUGACAAAGCCUGGGUUCAGGUCCCAGAGUGGCCCCUUAGCUAUGUGAUCUCAGAAAAGUCAGUCUUCUACCUUGAGCCACAAUUUCUUCAUUGCUGAAGGGAUAGAUCAGCGCCCAAAUCCCUUCCAGCUCUGACACUCUGCUAUCUCAUGACCUAUUUUAUCCGCUAUCUAUAGUUCACGUUCUGGCUCAUCCAGCAUGAGUCAUGCCUCAAGAACUUGAGGCUCUUACUCACUUGAAGGACUUUAACAUUCUUCGGAGAACCUUUCACUCUUCAAAUAUUAUCUUUCUGAUGUGAUCCUUGGCAGCGUCGCGGAUCCCGCCAGCUCAUGCAGGUCGGGUCGCUCCAAGCCUUACCUACUCUCAGUUCCUGGCAGCCCUGGCCUCGUGCGUUCCCAGCAGGGGCCCCAGAAGAGGGUAGGGUCUGCCAGUCCCGUGAUGGAGUGUGUUGUGAUUCUCAUGCGGCCUGAGAGGAGGGGGAGCUGUGACUCAGUAUUUGGGAAACGUUGGCUUGUGGGGACAGUGCCAUGUGGUCAGGAGGUGAGAUGAGAUUCUGCUCUCCAUUCUGGGUUCCGUGCAGCAGUCUGGAUCCUCGACCUCUGUUCCACCUGGAACGCUUUUCUGCCCCAGCUGAGUAGGAAUUUAAAAAAAGAGAAGAAUAUGAAGUCUCCCUACUGGUCAGCCCGCCGGUGGCUCAGAUCCCUAAGGAGUGAAGAUUGGGUGUUUGGUUUGGGUCAUUCCACGAAGUCAGGGUUUCUGAGCAGCUGAGAUGCUGGCUGAGAGCAGAACAAACAUAAUAUUUAAGUCUCUUUUUCUCACUACAGUUUCACGGUGUGUUCUCAUGUUGUCUUAUCACAAAUCCCCCCCUUCUUCCCUUGUUCUCUUGUGUGACUUGUGUGUGGUGGUGGGGGCAGAAUUUAUGGUGUUGUCACUGCACUCCAGCACAUUAAGAGACUUGGAAUAGAACCAGAGGAGGAGUAAGCAUCACCCAGAGACCCUGGACUGCUUGCCCAGCCGAGCACUGAAAUCUCUGGGUUGGCCCCUAUGCAGAGGGCAAGCACGCUCCCGUGAGUGGAGAGCUCCUUGUGUUAGAUUCCUGUUGUUGUGAUCGUUGUUGGCAGUUAAAGAGGAGACUGACUGUACAGGACAUUGUAUGUUUUCUGCCCAAUUUUCAGCAUUUUUCGAACCCCAGUUUGGAGACUUUCAGCCUUAUGGGUCUGGCUCCUCAAGGCUUCGCGGGUCAGACCCACUUGAAGGAGCAGCGUGAGGAAGCAGAGCCUGCUCAGAAACAAGGGGCUGGCAGGUGCAGUGGCGGGGCGCCCAGCUCUGGUGCGGAAGCCGCACUGUUCGGAUGGCUGCAGGGGCAGUUACCACUUGUGCUCUGUGGGGCUGCGGCUGCCCCAGCGGGUUUCUCCUGACACUAGGCUUCCAGGCAUCAAUCUGGAGCUUUCCAUGAACUUGUCCUCUAGCUUCCUGGUACCUUUGAAAUCAACUGCUCUCUUUCACUUAAUCGGUCAGGUUCUGAUUCUUGCAGGAAGAAAGUCUGACAUAUAGAAAUUGGAGAAAAUAGCAGCAGCAGCAGUAACAAUAACAACAACAACAACAACAAUAACAAUAAUAAUAAUAAAAGAAAGCCUUUAUCGAGCACCUACUGUGUGCCAGGCACCAUAUUUUAUGUUAGAUAUGCAUGAUUUCAUUUCUUCCUUUCAACAGUCCUACAAGCUUGGUACAGUUUCAUUUCUUUGUUUUGUUUUUUUUAAUAGAGAAGGUAGCUAAGGCUUACAGAAAUUUCAAAGUAUGUCCAAGGUCACAAAUUAGGAAUUUAUACCCAUGAAGCUUGAAAGGCACUAGAACAUAAAUCAGGAUAAGACUUGUGUGCCUGAAGAGUCAAGACUACAAAAUCAUGUCCUAGAUUUCUAUUAUGGGGAAUUUUAAAACAUGCGACAUGCACAGAAAGAGAAAAUAUUCUUACAAACCUUGAUGUACCCAUUAGUCCAGUUUCAGCAAAUCAUCAAUAUACAGGACAGUAUAAUAUGCUUGGUACUACUAGUUUAAGGAUAUAGAAGGUAUCUCUACUGAGUUUUCUCGAAUGUUGUGAGGUUUAAGAGUGUGGAGUUGGAAGUGGUUGUAUAUAUAAGAGCAGAUUUAAUUAUGUUAUAUUAAAUUUUCAAACCACAUAAAAUUUUAAAUUUGCAUGUCUAGAUAUGAAAAGGCAAACAGUAAACUCUGCCACUGCUGUGACUUGCAAAAAAAAUCUUUAUUAUAGAAAAAGCUCAUAUAUGGUGAUAAGAAAAUCAACAAAUAUAGCAGAAAAUGGGGUCAAGGGUGUGAACAUAUAGUUCUUAGAAAAAGAUCCAACAAUAGCCAUCAAGCUUACUGGUAAUCAAAACAAUGAAAACAGAAAAAUGCUGUUUUCACCUAUGAAAUGAAAAAAAUAUAAAGUAGGUAUUUGUUCACAUUCUGCUGAAGGCAGGAUGAUUUCAUGGAUCCCUACUGGAAAUGAACUUGACAAAACAUAUUAGGGACUUAAAGGAGUUUAUACCCUUUGAUCCAAAAAUUCUGGCAAGAGAAUCUUCUCCAAAAGAAAUUAGGAGAGGUGCAGAAAAAAUUUCUACUCAAAGAAUUUCAUUAUAGCAUGAAUUGUAAGAGCAAAAAUAUUGGAGAAGUUCCGAAGCCUAACAAGAGAACAGUUGUGUAAGUUACGGUGUGUACAUAGAUGGAACGUUGUCCGUUUUCUCUGGAAAAUGGUCAUCUAUGUAAAGUAUGAUUUCAUUUACGUACAGUUUAUCUUUCUCUCUCUCCAUACAUACACACAUACAGAAAAAAAAGCCCCAACGCUGAGAGAUAUACACCGAUAUGUUCACAGGGUAGUUAUAUGUGGAUUGUGGGAUUGUGGGUUUAAAAAUUUUAUUCUAGGGGCGCCUGGGUGGCACAGCGGUUAAGCGUCUGCCUUCGGCUCAGGGCGUGAUCCCGGCGUUAUGGGAUCGAGCCCCACA